rnacentral:misc_RNA from 1 species
CGAAUCAAGGGAAGCGUGCGGUGCAGGCAAGAGACCACCGUAAGCGUCGUUGCAACCAUAUAAGCGCCGAUUCACAUCAGCGCGACUACGCUCUCGCUGCCUAAGCGAAGCUAGUCUGUCGGACCGGGAACGCCCUCGCCCCGGACCCCGGCAUCAGCUAGAGGGAUCCACCGAUGAGUCCGGUCGCGGGACUCAUCGGGACACCAACAGCGACUGGGAUCGUCAUCCUGGCUAGUUCGCGUGACCAGGAGAUCCGAGUAGAGGCAUAGCGAACUGCGCACGGAGAAGCCUUGAGGGAAUGCC